UACGGAGGGUGCAAGCGUUGUCCGGAUUUAUUGGGUUUAAAGGGUGCGUAGGUGGGGUCUCAAGUCUGGUUUGAAAGUUAGCUGCUCAACAGUUAGACGUGGCUGGAAACUGGGGUUCUGGAAUGGGUUGGCGGUUGCUGGAACUGGUGAUGUAGCGGUGAAAUGCAUAGAUAUGACCAGGAACACCGAUUGCGAAGGCAGGCAGCUACAACAUGAUUGACACUGAGGCACGAGAGCAUGGGUAGCGAACAGG
rnacentral:rRNA from 1 species